rnacentral:rRNA from 1 species
AUUGAACGCUGGCGGCAGGCCUAACACAUGCAAGUCGAGCGGAUGAAGGGAGCUUGUUCCUGGAUUCAGCGGCGGACGGGUGAGUAAUGCCUAGGAAUCUGCCUGGUAGUGGGGGAUAACGUCCGGAAACGGGCGCUAAUACCGCAUACGUCCUGAGGGAGAAAGUGGGGGAUCUUCGGACCUCACGCUAUCAGAUGAGCCUAGGUCGGAUUAGCUAGUUGGUGGGGUAAAGGCCUACCAAGGCGACGAUCCGUAACUGGUCUGAGAGGAUGAUCAGUCACACUAGAACUGAGACACGGUCCAGACUCCUACGGGAGGCAGCAGUGGGGAAUAUUGGACAAUGGGCGAAAGCCUGAUCCAGCCAUGCCGCGUGUGUGAAGAAGGUCUUCGGAUUGUAAAGCACUUUAAGUUGGGAGGAAGGGCAGUAAGUUAAUACCUUGCUGUUUUGACGUUACCAACAGAAUAAGCACCGGCUAACUUCGUG